GGAAUGUAGCUUAGUGGUAGAAUGUGUGCUUAGCAUGCACAAGGCUUUUGGUUCAAUCCAGAGCACCA
rnacentral:tRNA from 1 species